UUGUAAACCAUUUGCUCUGAUAGGAUUUUGCCCUCUUUCAAUAGUGAUUGCCAUGGUCUCUUCCUCUUCCUCUGCCGUCUUUCUCAUCCGCUCAUCUUCGCCGUGCAACCCGCUUCUGCAGCCGCUCGCAACCCGCUUCCGCUUCCACGGCCGCCGCGCCACCCGCUUCUCCACGCCGCGCAACCCACUUCCCCGCCGCUUGCAACCCGCUUCCCGCUGCCGCAUAACCCGCUUCCCCCGCUUUCUAUCAGCUUCGUAUUUAGGGCUUAAAGAGUUUUUGCCACCAUAUUUGGAUCCAAAUCUCACAAAUCAAGAACGCAUCUCAGGAGUCAGCUUUGCUUCUGAUGAAUGUAAUUUCAAUUCGAAAACAGUUGGAACAUUUCAAAGAAUACAAAAAUAGGUUGGAGAGGAUUCUUGGUAAAUAGAAAACAGAAGAUCAUAUGAAGAACGCUAUAUUUUUCAGAAGUGCAGGGACAAAUGACUUUGUUAUUAAUUAUUUUACAUUGCCAAUACGAAGAAAGACAGAGGAUAAGUUAUUGUUUGGAACGGUGUAGAAUUGAAGGAAGUAAUUGGUAUCCAGAGGAAGAGAAAGAAGAGGACAGAGGAUAAGUUAUUAUUUUGCAGCAUGAAGCAGCAGCUACCUUGCGUUGAUGCUAAAUUGCAGAAGAUUAAAGAGAAGAGAAGAGAAGAGAAGAGAAGAGAAGAGAAGAGAAGCAUUUCUGCUAGGGUUUUUCAUUCAAUUUCAUUCACCACCAUUCUCUCAUCCUCUUCCUCUGCUGUAUCUCUUGUUCGCCAAUCCUUGCCGUCACAACACGCCUCAGACGACGCCGCAACUUGCUUCCGCCGCCGCCGCGCAAGACGCUGCCUCAACGCUUGGAGGUUAGUUAAUCAUUAUGCCUUUUCAAUUCAUCAUUUCGUAUGUUUUUUUCUUUUUUGGAUGAUAAUAGUGAUGAUAUUGCUAUGCUACUCAGUAGUUAAGAGGAAUGUUAUUGCCAUGAAAACGAAACAAAAUUGAGUGUAAAGGCCAAUCAAAUCUGAACGUUGAACCAUUCCCUUUUCAACGUCAAAACCUCAACUAGCAAAGUAGAUGACUGAAUCAAAGAAUUUUACCUUUAUAACAAUAAUGAUUGCAUGUCUAUAUAAAUUUGUUUCCAGUAAAGUUAUAAUUAAAUUCUUAUAAUUAAAUUCUUGUGCAGAUGUGUGAAUGUGAUUUCAUACAAAAUAAUAUUUUUCCUUUGUAUAAUUAUGGCCUCAUGUCCAUUUUAACCCCCUUCUUGGCUUUUUGCACUUUGCUAUUCCUUUUUUCUUGCCUUUACUGCAAGUCCAAAACCAUAUGAUAUGAUAUGAAUGUCAUUUGAUAAUGACUUGGAUGACCACAUGAACAUUGAAGAUGACUCACUAGUAUAUGAUGAGAAUGCUUUGUACAGUAGCAAUGAAGUGCUGUAAUAUGGUAUAGUAUUUUGGUUUAAGGUUGUGGAAUCCUUUAUUUCUGGUUUAAGAUGCUAGUUAGGAAUAUUUCAUGUAGAUUUAUUUACAAAGGCCAUGUGAAAUGCGAGAUUUAACUUGAGCAUUAGACCAUACAUUAGGUUUCAAAAAUUGACUCCCAUAGAAUUCAUUGUAAACAUUUUCUCCCUUCCCCCUUUUCUUUUUAAAUCCUGUUGUAAUUUCAAUUAAAAUUAUUCAAUACGAUAUGGUUAAUUUUGAUCUUACCUGUAAUUGUGUGACAGUUCUGAUCUGCAAUUAGCAAUAGCCUUGCAACAACAGGAUAUCACUACAUUCCAAAUAUGUAUAAGCCACUGCCUUUUCACUUUCAUCUUUCUUUCUGGUUAAUUUUUAUGAAUCUAAGAUGAGUUUGUGUUGUGAAAUUAGAUUCUGAGUUUUCAGAUUUUAAGUUUUCAGAUGGCUUUAAGAUCAAGGAAUGCAGGACUGUCUACUAAUAGCAAUAACACAGAAUGGAUUGAACCAUGAUCUUUAGGGCAAUUGCUUUUGAUGCUAUAUCCUUUGGUGUGUCUUGUUGGAUUUAUCUUAAACUAGGCUAAUAUCUUUGGUCCUAUAUGAAGUAUUUGGUCAAAGAAAACUAUUCUUACCAACAUUUUUAAUUCUCCCAGUUGCCCUUACCAACAUUCAUCUUUCAUGUUCAUGUCAUUUGGAGUUGGUUUUUACUUUUUACCAUUAAAAAAGGAAACCGGCAUUCCUUCUGAAACCAUCUACACUCGCAUUUUCAACGUCUCUUUCCUAGCUUUCUUUUUGUAUGGAAUUUCUAAAAAAUAUUUUUUAGGUGAGUACUAUUGUUACUUUUAGAACACUAAAAUAAAUAUAAUACAAAUCCUAGACAUGGAGUGCUUAUCAAUUUCUAGUAUUGACUGGUGUUUGCAUCUCCCUGAUUAUUAUCAGUGCUGUUUUAAUUCAUCAUAUUCUAUAUGUAAUCGAUGUGGUGGUGAAUUAAAUUGACUUCCAGCAAGGGAAGAUUCGGACUGCGUCAAGCAGAGACUUGGUGGUCAGAGAACCGGGACAAGGUAUACAAAAGGUAUAAUGUUCAUAGUAGUGCAGUCAAGUCUUCCAACCAAGCAGGGGCACCGCAUAGGACAGAAGGUGCUGGUUCUAUUGAGGGACACCGCACAAGGGUCCUGUUUAAGAGCAAACUAUAAAAAAUAUUGGUUUUAUUUUAUAUUGUGUUAGUUUGAAUCACACUUUUGUUUCUUAUAAAGGUUGAUCAAUGCUCCUGUGAAUUGCACUCUUCUGUCUAUUAUUUAAUUAUUUUUCCUUUAUAAUAUUUCAUUUUUGUAUGGAGGGAGGAAAAUCCGACGUGGAAGUGACAUGGGAGCAUUUUUUAUAUUCUUUCUUUUGCUUCUUUUCUUUUAACUUUUUCUAAUCCAAAUAUGUGUAGUAAGAGCCAUUUUACUGCGUGAUAAGAGCUAAACACGAGCUCAUCUCUCUUUCUUUUUUGGUUUUCAAUAAUUUUUGCUUCUC